rnacentral:lncRNA from 1 species
UCGACUUUUGAUUUUAAAAAAUUAAAGAAAAUGAAUUAGUACAAGUAGGUAUGUAUCAAUUUUUCUUGCUUGUUAUACUGAAUUGGAUCGGAUUUGAUUUAGAAGGCAAAGAUUUGUGAGAAUACAUCUUGGUUAUAUAUAUAAUACUAUAUAUUUUUAAUUAAUCUUAAUUAAAAAUAUAAAAAUAACAUGUCAAUUAACACAAAACCCACAAAGAACAAAAUUAAAUACUGUUUUUCGUGAACCCAGAAUAGGAUUAAAUCUCAAUUAAUGAUCAGAUUAAGUUGGGAAUGGCAUAAAUUAAUGUUAAUAAAUUAAAAUCUCAAUUAAUGACCGGAUUAACAUUAAUUGCGCAGUGAAAAACCAUCACGAAUGCCUAAAUCAUCCGUACCAGCACGAAAUUGCACAGUGAAAACCAGAACAGCCAUGUUAACGGUCGGUAGCAUUCUUCUUUUUCCUUUCCUGCUCUGACUCACCCAUUGAAUUUUGAAAAAACCACUACCCAGAACCUGGGAGCUAAAACUGAAACCCAACACGAAAAACCACUACCCAUGAAUCUGGGAGCCAAAACCACCUUGUUUCACUUUCUCGAGAAACAACCAACGCAACUUUUUCUCUCCCUUUAAAAGAAAAUAAAAAUAAAUCCUCUACGCCCCCUUCGUCCUCUGAUUUUCAUCUAUAUAAAUCCAUGCAACACACAGAACUAACAAGUUUCACUCAAGUGAAAACAAAGCAACCUUCCAUCCAGAACCACCAUUCUCAAUUUCCCAUAACCAGUUUCGAAAUUGUUCUCCGACACCCUCUUCAGUUUCUCGGAGAAAUAAGCGAGAGAGAUCAAAGUGACGGAUGGGUAACAACGGUAAUAGGGUUUCCAAGUUUGAGGUGGCACUAAACUCGAUACAGCAGAGAAUGAAGACGAAGCUUGUGACAGAACCAGCAAGUAACAAUGGCGUGUGGCGAGUAUCUAGUGGCGGUGUUAAUGAUCAAGGGUCGAAGAUGAACAGUGAUGAGGAAAGCAAGAGGAGGAGGCGGAGGAGGGAAGAGAAGGAUGAGAUUCUCAUGCACCUGGUUUUCUGGGGACCCAAAUAAUUUCUUUAUUUAAAUAAUUAUUUUUUUUUUCUUUAAUACCAAUUUUGUCGCUAAAUGUUAUUGAUAUUAUUUCUUGUCGAAUAAAAUAUUUUAAUUUUAAUUAUUUUAAUAUAAAGAUAUAAAAUUAAAUAUAACUAAAAUUUUAAAAUAUAAAUAACUUGUUUUAACUAUAUUUUUUAAUUUUUAAUGAUUAUUAUUAUUUAUAUUAUUG